UGUGCACCUCCGCCCCGCCACAGCCUCACGCGCCUCACCCUUUACACGCACGGUCACUUGCCCCGCGCACCCCCGAGCCCUCCUAGCCCUGACACACAGCUGGGACUCUCAGGUCCCACCAGCGGUCCUGAACCCGCUCCCUCGGCACGGGAACUCCUUUGUGGCGAAGCAGCAGGUGGGGAAGCAGCAGCCCCUGCGCUGCCUCAUCUACAUAGAAGUCGCCCUAUCCGUGAUGUCACCGACAGUGCCUUUCCCAGUCCCUGUCUGUCUCUCUGCCACUCAGCCGACCAACCCGCUGCCGGAUCCGGCAAGGGGAAGUGACGUCUGUCUCUCCCUUUUUUCUCUUCCCACCCCGGCGUCUGUUCUCGCCCAAAGAAGCUGGUUCUCAGCCUGCGCUGCGGAGCAAACUUUCGGUGGCCAGCUGGAGCCUGGGCAUCCUUCCUCAAAUAAUGGCUUUUAAUUCGCAGACUAGAACGUUUAGGAUUACAAAAGAAACCGGUUCUCUUCACACUCUCAUCCUUGUGGUGUAGCAUUCCGCUUGAAAUUGGAAGCCGUUCAAUGUCAGAGAGAAACCAUAUUGAUGAAAUUAAAGAGGCUUCUCAGAUGACUGCAAACCAGCCUUCCUUACUGGUUUUAUCACUGUAUUGUAGAAAGAUAUGCUGCGCCAGAAGAGAUGAUUGGACACUCUCAAGCGUGGUGUUGGACUUUGUCAUCUCUUGCACAGCCAUCUCCAGACCUUAGUGCUUACCUCAUGUUAGUUUUUUAUAUCCUGCAAAGACAAAACCAAAAUAAUCCAAAUUUGACACAAAUACCUGGGAUACGUCUUAUUUGAGAUGUUUAACAAAUGUCUGGAUCGUCUUUUCUUACAUUGGAUUAUAACGAAGGAAACACUGUGAAGUAAGCAAAGUUGGAAUUCCCAAGUCAGAGACCAUUUGAAUAUUUACAAGUAGAUUUGAGACAGGAAUAGUACAGGGUGGUCACAGGGUAACAAAUUCUAGGCAGCAGAUUUACAUGACUUGAGGCUAUGGGCUGAUAAGACGCUGAAAAACCAGGGUUGUGGGCCAAGCUGGCUAAGACUGACUGGACCCAAUGUGGUGCUGGAUUUGACGUAGGUUUUACCUAGGCCCUCAUUAUAUGCUCAUUAACAUACUAAAUCACACCCCCACCAGUGCCAUGACAGUUCUGAGACCAAUAUUUGAUGUAAAAAUGGAUGGCACCACAGUUCCGAGAAAUCUCCACCUUUACCCAGGAAUUUUCAUGAAUAUUCCACUCCUUGGUUAAAGAAACCCAUCGAGAUGAAACCCCAGAACCCACUGUUCUCUCUCGGGUAUGCCUGAACUCCCCUUUCUUGAGUGUGUACUUUUUGCUUUGCAAUACAUCUCUUCUUUCACUAUUUGCUCACUCAUUCUUGACUUGGUUCUCGAGAUGGUGUCAAGAGCCUGGACACCACAGCUGGGGUCGAGAUCCCACCAGUGUCCGGGGACCUCCCCCAGCCCACCAGUAUCAGAUUCUAUUCCAUUGCUCCAAUCACAAAACAUUGAAUGGAGGGUUCUCCUUUGGAGACCAUAAAGUAAAGAUUCUGUGGCACGGUGGCCAGUUAGGCCACUGGAAGGCAUGGCAAAAUAUUGAAAAUGAGGGAUUAGGUGACAGUAUAGUAACUGCUGAAUACUAAAUACUUGAUCCAGGCCCCAUUCCCUGGAGACUGACAGGGAGACACAUCGUCCAGGUAGUAGUGGAGAAACUUUCUGGGUAUCUGACCAGGCUUUGUGGAAAGAACUGGCACCAUCCUGCACAUAUAACCGCCUGAUGGGUUCUUCCUGCCCACUGUACAUACAAAAUCAAUUCAUGGAGACCAUGGCAUUGCAGUAAAGAGUUUAAUUGACACAGGCCAGCCACGACAUGGGGGGGACAGAGUUAUUACUCAAAUCGAUCUCACUGAAGGCUUGGAGGUAAGGGGUUUUUCAAAGAUAGUUUGGUGGGGAGGGGGCUAGGGCUUGGGCGGUGCUGACUGUUGGGGAUGAAAUCACAGGGGUGUGGAAAAUGGCCCUCCUGCACUGAGCCAGCUGCUGGGUGGGGGCUAAGGGACUGGUUGAUUUUCGGGCCCAAUGGUGCCAUCCAGUAGUCAGAAAUGCAAAAGCCUGAAAAGACAUCUCAAGAGGCCAGUCUUAGGUUCUACAAUAGCGAUGUUCUUCACAGCAGUAAUUGGGGAAGCUGCAAAUCUUGUGACCUCUGGAAUAAUGGCUGGUAAUUAUUUAAUGAGGCAUACAUCUUAGUAGAAUUCAGGCCCCUUUCAUCCUCCUAACUUGGUGGCCUUUCAUUAGUUUUACAGGGGUAAUUUAGUUUUGGGGAAGGUUAUCAUUUAAACCAACCUUUUUGGCUGUCCCCAGUGUUUUUGGCACCAGGGACUGGUUUCACGGAAGACAAUUUUUCCAUGGAAGGGGGUUUCCGGAUGAAACCGUUCCACCUCAGGUCAUCCGGCAUUAGUUACAGUCUCAUAGGGAGUGCGCAAUCUGGAUCCCUCACAUGUGCAGUUCCCGACAGGGUCCGAGCUCCGAUGAGAAUCUAAUGCCGAUGCUGAUCUGACAAGAGGUGGAGCUCAGGUGGUAAUGCUGGAAAGCCUGCAGCUCACCUCCUGCUGUUUGGCUGGGUUCCUAACAGGCCAUGGACCAAUACCUGUCUUGUGGCCCUGGGGGUUGGGGACCCCUGAUUUAAACCAUAAACUCAAUUUUCCCCAAAGAUAGCUUGGGAGAAAUUGCACAGGAAUGAGCAAAGACAGCUAGCCUGUGAGGCUAGAACCAAAAUGGAGUCAGCCAUGUCAGAUUUCUCUGAUUGCCAUAAUUUUGCAAAAGUAAUUUCAGAGGGACUACGCUGGACACUUGUUAAAAGCAUGAGGCGGAUUUUAUUGUAUGUACUACAGCAGGCAAGAGAGACCAGCAGAGAACUGAGCUCAACUCCAAAUACAGCAAGAAGAGUUGAAGAUUUAUAGCCAAUCGGCAAGAUAAGAAAGUCAGUGGAUGGAACAUUACUAAGAGGAACUUGAUUAGCUAUCAAAGGUGGUUGGGAGGACUCCUGCUAAACUAGACUCAACAGUAUUCUUUUCUAAACCUGGACUUGGCAGGCCAAGAACUAAUAGAGAAAAGGGCUCAGAGGAAACUGACUAGGGUUUGGUCAAAGAUGGAGUCCUUGUCAACUCUACAUUGAAGCUUCUGCAAAUAAACGAAGACCAACCAAAUGAAAAAAAAAGCAAAGGCUAUUUAUUCUGAGCUUGCUAUGGCAGGGAGUCAGCCACUGUUACUUGUGUUUUGGCAGAGACUUGAAGGCAGUCAGAAGGGUGGGAAAGCUUUUUAAAAAGAAAGGCUUCAGGUGUGCUUGGACUGGAGGCUGUCAGCAUGGUGAAGCUAUAGAUAGAUGAAAAAAAUCAAAAUAUUUUACCCCAGGAUAUAUUUCUUUGGCAUAUUUUAAGAUGGCUGUCAGAGAGCCAGCAAACAGAAGUAACUCUGCAAAACUGCCUUUUACAGGGGAAAUUUACACCUGCAGAGAAUCUGCAUGAAUCCAGCCUUCCCUUGUCAGGAUUGAGAAAUAAAAAUAAGCCCUAGGCCCUACGACCAACUGAACGGACUCCCUCUUGGCUGACAGGGCCGCAGAGAAACCUUGAAAGCUGUUUCUGGCUGUGACAGGAUAGGAGGUCGGGCAUGCCCCCUUAAAAUCCCUCCCUCGCUAACUGCCAUUAUGAGGCAGGAGAACAGCAGAGGCAGUUGGAAGUUGGAUAAAAGGCAGAAUGAGUAAAAGCAGAAACAGAAGCAAGGUGAUGGGACGGGACAGCAAGAAGCAAGAAAAAAGGCAGAAGUUGAGUGGCCAAAACAAAAAGUAAGAUUAAAAAAAGCAAGCAAGGCUGGGCGCAGCUGCUCACCCCUGUAAUCCCAGCAGUUUGUGAGGCCAAGGCAGGCGGAUUGCCUGAGGUCAGGAGUUCGAGACCAGCCUGACCAACACAGCGAAACCCCGUUCUCUACUAAAAAUACAAAAAAAUAGCUGGGCAUGGUGAUGCUCUCCUGCACUCCCAGCUACUCAGGAGGCUGAGACAGGAGAAUUGCUUGAACCCGGGAGGCAGAGGUUGCAGUGAGCCAAGAUCGCGCCACUGCACUCCAGACUGGGCAACAGAGCGAGACCCUGUCUUAAAAAAAAAAAAAAAAAAGCGAGCAAGGAUCCCAUGGCCAGCAAGAUCCAAACCAGGAAAGGUGCAGCUCUUCAGAGAUAGGCAUGUGCAUUAGAGAGAAAAAGUAUCCUUAGCAGGACUUCAUAUGAUAAUCAGCUCAUUAAAGCUCAUGCAUAUGGACUGCAUAUCAUGCAUGUACUUAAAAUUAUGGGAUGGAGGCAACAUUCAAGCACACAAGGGCCAAAGUAACAAAGCAACCCACCUAUCAAUCAAAAGGCAAACACUGGCUAAAGAUUAGGCAUCCUUGGCCGGGCACAGUGGCUCAUGCCUGUAAUCCCAGCACUUUGCGAGGCCGAGGCGGGCGGAUCAUGAGGUCAGGAGAUCGAGACCAUCCUGGCUAACAUGGUGAAACCCCGUCUCUACUAAAAAUACAAAAAAAUUAGCUGGGCGUGGUGGCGGGCGCCUGUAGUCCCAGCUGCUGGGAAGGCUGAGGCAGGAGAAUGGCGUGAACCCGUGAGGCAGAGCUUGCAGUGAGCCGGGAUCGUGCCACUGCACUCCAGCCUGGGUGACAGAGCGAGACUCCGUCUCACACACACACACAUACAAAAAAAAAAAAAAAAAGAUUAGGCAUCCUUGUGAAGAGAAGAAAACACACACACACACACACACACACACACACACACACACACACACACACACAGACCCCAAGUACACCAAACUAAUACCGAUCUAAUCUCCCAGAGGUCAGCCCACCCUCCCCACUCUGAGAGUGUUACUGUGCUUAAUAAACUUUUGCUUUGCUUUGC